CAGGGGAUAACAUUUGGAAACAAGUGCUAAUACCGUAUAAUACCAACAACCGCAUGGUUGUUGGUUGAAAGAUGGUUCUGCUAUCACUAAGAGAUGGACCCGCGGUGCAUUAGCUAGUUGGUAAGGUAACGGCUUACCAAGGCAAUGAUGCAUAGCCGAGUUGAGAGACUGAUCGGCCACAAUGGGACUGAGACACGGCCCAUACUCCUACGGGAGGCAGCAGUAGGGAAUCUUCCACAAUGGGCGCAAGCCUGAUGGAGCAACGCCGCGUGUGUGAUGAAGGGUUUCGGCUCGUAAAACACUGUUAUAAGAGAAGAACGGCACUGAGAGUAACUGUUCAGUGUGUGACGGUAUCUUACCAGAAAGGAACGGCUAAAUACGUGCCAGCAGCCGCGGUAAUACGUAUGUUCCAAGCGUUAUCCGGAUUUAUUGGGCGUAAAGCGAGCGCAGACGGUUAUUUAAGUCUGAAGUGAAAGCCCUCAGCUCAACUGAGGAAUGGCUUUGGAAACUGGAUGACUUGAGUGCAGUAGAGGAAAGUGGAACUCCAUGUGUAGCGGUGAAAUGCGUAGAUAUAUGGAAGAACACCAGUGGCGAAGGCGGCUUUCUGGACUGUAACUGACGUUGAGGCUCGAAAG
rnacentral:rRNA from 1 species